GAGAGAAUAAAGGGAAAAGAGAUAAAAAAAGAGCGACAACGACAUGAUGCGCUCAUAUUGCAAGUGUUUAAUUGGUCGUUAAGGAAUAUUAAUGCACCUUUGGCUUUAUUGAUUUUCCACGAGCCAUAAGAUCAUAACAUCACAUUUCAUUAAGUGAUUUUUUUAUUCUGAAGAAGAAAAACGAAAAAGAAAAGGAGAUCAUCAAGAUCGACCCAGAACUCGCUGCUGCAUUUACCAUGAUUAUGUAUCGGUGGAGAUCAUGACUGCAAGCUGGUAUCAGCUCUUCUCCAUGUAUUUUACCAGCAAAUUCAACGAAGGCUCUCGAUCUUUAUAUAUACACAAA